GUACCUGAAAUACUCCACACACUGGGCCUUACUGAAACGCCAACCGUAACCGCUGCUCCCCAAGCCGAACACACCUGGGACCCUGAAUCAACGAUCCCAUUCGUACCGAGAACCACACCUAUUACCUGACUGAUCAAGAAAUGGGCGCAACUAUCCCACACGGAAGAACGAACGUUACCAGACCACCAAGAAUACUGGCUUAUAUUAUGCAUUAUACUAACC